GAGGUUGUAUUAUAAUUUAGUAUUUUUCUUUUUCGAAGGAGAGGUUUUUGGAUCUUA
rnacentral:tRNA from 1 species